rnacentral:lncRNA from 1 species
UCUUUGGUCAUUGAGCACAUCCAGGUGAAUAAAGCACACUUAGAGAGCUCAUGGUUGAUUAACCCACACAUGAGCUCUCCCUGCCACAUCGAGAUCAUCCUUACUGAAAAGGAACAAAUUGUUCCUAAACCAGAAGAGGAGGUUGCCCAGAAGAAAAAGUUAGCGCAGAAGAAACUAAAGAAACAAAAACGUAUGGCUCUGGAAUAA